rnacentral:rRNA from 1 species
CAGCCGCCGCGGUAAUACAGAGGGUGCGAGCGUUAAUCGGAUUUACUGGGCGUAAAGCGUGCGUAGGCGGCUUUUUAAGUCGGAUGUGAAAUCCCUGAGCUUAACUUAGGAAUUGCAUUCGAUACUGGGAAGCUAGAGUAUGGGAGAGGAUGGUUGAAUUCCAGGUGUAGCGGUGAAAUGCGUAGAGAUCUGGAGGAAUACCGAUGGCGAAGGCAGCCAUCUGGCCUAAUACUGACGCUGAGGUACGAAAGCAUGGGGAGCAAACAGGAUUAGAUACCCGAGUAGUCCCUGUCUCUUAUAU